rnacentral:rRNA from 1 species
UGCGUAGGCGGGCUAAUAAGUCAGUGGUGAAAUCUUCCGGCUCAACCGGGAACCUGCCAUUGAUACUGUUAGUCUUGAGUUCGGCUGAGGUAGGCGGAAUGUGUAAUGUAGCGGUGAAAUGCUUAGAUAUUACACAGAACACCAAUUGCGUAGGCAGCUUACUAGACCGACACUGACGCUGAGGCACGAAAGCGUGGGGAGCGAACAGGAUUAGAUACCAUGGUAGUCC